rnacentral:rRNA from 1 species
UUACCAGGUCUUGACAUCCCCUGACCAACCGAAGAGAUUGGGCGUUCCCCGUUCGGGGGACAGGUGACAGGUGGUGCUAUGGUUUGUCGUCAGCUCGUGUCGUGAGAUGUUGGGUUAAGUCCCGCAACGAGCGCAACCCUUGUCCUUAGUUGCCAGCAUUCAGUUGGGCACUCUAAGGAGACUGCCGUGUCAAACCGGAGGAAGGUGGGGAUGACGUCAAGUCCUCAUGGCCCUUAUGUCCAGGGCUACACACGUGCUACAAUGGCCGGUACAAAGGGGCGCAAGACCGCGAGGUGGAGCAAAUCCCAAAAAACCGGUCUCAGUUCGGAUUGGAGUCUGCAACUCGACUCCAUGAAGUUGGAAUCGCUAGUAAUCGCGUAUCAGCAUGACGCGGUGAAUACGUUCCCGGGCCUU